rnacentral:rRNA from 1 species
UACGAAGGGGGCUAGCGUUGCUCGGAAUCACUGGGCGUAAAGCGCACGUAGGCGGAUUCUUAAGUCGGUGGUGAAAGCCUGGAGCUCAACUCCAGAACUGCCUUCGAUACUGAGAGUCUUGAGUCCGGGAGAGGUGAGUGGAACUGCGAGUGUAGAGGUGAAAUUCGUAGAUAUUCGCAAGAACACCAGUGGCGAAGGCGGCUCACUGGCC